rnacentral:ncRNA from 1 species
CGACCCCAGGUCAGGCGGGACUACCCGCUGAGUUUAAGCAUAUAAAUAAGCGGAGGAGAAGAAACUUACGAGGAUUCCCCUAGUAACGGCGAGCGAACCGGGAGAUGCCCAGCUUGAGAAUCGGGCGGCCGCGCCGUCCGAAUUGUAGUCUGGAGAGGCGUCCUCAGCGACGGACCGGGCCCAGUCCCCUGGAAAGGGGCGCCUGGGAGGGUGAGAGCCCCGUCCGGCCCGGACCCUGUCGCCCCACGAGGCGCCGUCAACGAGUCGGGUUGUUUGGGAAUGCAGCCCAAAUCGGGCGGUAAACUCCGUCCAAGGCUAAAUACAGGCGAGAGACCGAUAGCGAACAAGUACCGCGAGGGAAAGAUGAAAAGGACUUUGAAAAGAGAGUCAAAGAGUGCUUGAAAUUGCCGGGAGGGAAGCGGAUGGGGGCCGGCGAUGCGCCCCGGCCGUAUGCGGAACGGCUUCGGCUGGUCCGCCGAUCGGCUCGGGGCGUGGACUGUUGUCGGCCGCGCCGGCGGCCAAAGCCCGGGGGCUCCGCGCCCCCGGCAGCCGUCGUCGGCGCAGCCGGUCACCGCGCGCCUCUGGCGCGCCCCUCGGGGCGCCGCGCUGCAACGGCCUGCGGGCUCCCCAUCCGACCCGUCUUGAAACACGGACCAAGGAGUCUGACAUGCGUGCGAGUCGACGGGUUCUGAAACCUGGGAUGCGCAAGGAAGCUGACGAGCGGGAGGCCCUCACGGGCCGCACCGCUGGCCGACCCUGAUCUUCUGUGAAGGGUUCGAGUUGGAGCACGCCUGUCGGGACCCGAAAGAUGGUGAACUAUGCCUGAGCGGGGCGAAGCCAGAGGAAACUCUGGUGGAGGCUCGAAGCGAUACUGACGUGCAAUCGUUCGUCUGACUUGGGUAUAGGGGCGAAAGACUAAUCGAAC